UGGUCUACAUUACAGAAGGCCAUUGAAGAGAUCGCCCCAGCUGUGGCAGAACAUAGGGGGCGCUAUAGUUGAUUGCAGCCACUGGAGGGUUCCAUGGGUUGGGUAUCCUCCGUGUACGGAGGUAAUUUGCAGGUGCUCCCCCGUACUGGGGGUCGCUGCUGGGUGCAGGACCCUCUCACAGCGGACCGGAGCAGACAGCGGGGGGCGGGCCCGUCCUGUGUACUCGCUCAACCUCAUUGGCUGCUCGCUGUAGGCUGGGACAGGCUCAGCCAAUGGCAGGAGGCCGUGAGCCCAGUAAUGCAGCAGCAGCCUGGUCUCCUCAUCCCUAGGAGUCUAUUGUAAGGGAGCAGCACAAAGAGCGCACUGCACUGCUCACUGCAUCUCACUGGAGAGCGCCGCAUUGUGGAAGAUGAGCACCAGCAUCAGGUACAAGAGCAAGCUGCUGAAGACAGAUGAGAAGGAGACAGCAGGGUUUGAUGGAUUCGGAAGUGGUUUGACAUUGGGCUCCCAUGAGGGCCGCCCUCAGACUCUUGCCACGG